rnacentral:rRNA from 1 species
CCUGGUAGUUAUGGCGGGGGUGUCCCACCCGAUCCCAUCCCGAACUCGGCCGUAAAAACCCCCAGCGCCCAUGGUACUGCGUCUUAAGGCGUGGGAGAGUAGGUCGCUGCCAGGU